rnacentral:rRNA from 1 species
GCUUACGGCCAUACCAGCCUGAAUACGCCUGAUCUCGUCUGAUCUCGGAAGCUAAGCAGGGUCGGGCCUGGUUAGUACUUGGAUGGGAGACCGCCUGCGAAUACCAGGUGCUGUAAGCU